UAGUUACCCUGAUUCAGACGGACCCCUAAAUAGGACCGGUAAGAGAGAAAAAGAAGAGGAGAGUACUUUGUCUCACACGGCCGCCAGGAACUAGGAGACUCCACAGGCGUACAUUAGAGGCACUGCGCCUCCGAAAGUGCAACCGAACUGUCAUGAGAUGGAACACUCCUACUGUCAGGGGAAUGCUUCAACAGGU